rnacentral:rRNA from 1 species
UUCGGAUGAAGGUCUGGUGACUGAGUGGCGGACGGGUGAGUAACGCGUGGGUAGCCUGCCCUGUACAGGGGGAUAACAGUCAGAAAUGACUGCUAAUACCGCAUAAGACCACAGCACCGCAUGGCGCAGGGGUAAAAACUCCGGUGGUACAGGAUGGACCCGCGUCUGAUUAGCUGGUUGGUGAGGUAACGGCUCACCAAGGCGACGAUCAGUAGCCGGCUUGAGAGAGUGAACGGCCACAUUGAGACUGAGACACGGUCCAAACUCC